rnacentral:ncRNA from 1 species
GAUAUCUUCUCGUAUAUGUGCAGGAAUGGGCCUGCACGUUUCUACCAGAUCACCGGAAAUGAUCGGACUACGGGGAAAAACGUUG